CCUACGGGUGGCAGCAGUGGGGAAUAUUGGGCAAUGGGCGCAAGCCUGACCCAGCAACGCCGCGUGAAGGAAGAAGGCUUUCGGGUUGUAAACUUCUUUUCUCAGGGACGAAGCAAGUGACGGUACCUGAGGAAUAAGCCACGGCUAACUACGUGCCAGCAGCCGCGGUAAUACGUAGGUGGCAAGCGUUAUCCGGAUUUACUGGGUGUAAAGGGCGUGUAGGCGGGGAGGCAAGUCAGAUGUGAAAACCACGGGCUCAACCUGUGGCCUGCAUUUGAAACUGUUUUUCUUGAGUGCUGGAGAGGCAAUCGGAAUUCCGUGUGUAGCGGUGAAAUGCGUAGAUAUACGGAGGAACACCAGUGGCGAAGGCGGAUUGCUGGACAGUAACUGACGCUGAGGCGCGAAAGCGUGGGGAGCAAACAGGAUUAGAUACCCCAGUAGUC
rnacentral:rRNA from 1 species